rnacentral:rRNA from 1 species
CCUACGGGAGGCAGCAGUAGGGAAUUUUCGUCAAUGGGCGCAACCCUGAACGAGCAAUGCCGCGUGGACGAGGAAGGUCUUCGGAUCGUAAACUUCUGUUGAAGGAGAAAAAGAUCGGAGAGAGGAAAUGCUUACUACUUGAUAUUACCGUGCGAGGAAGUCACGUAUUACUACGUGCCAGCGGCCGCGGUAAUACGUGGGUGGCGAAGGUUAUCGGGAAUGGGUUGGCGUACAGGGUGCGUAGUCGGCUUGCUAAGUCUGUGGUGAAAGGUACCGGCUAAACUGGUACAGGCUCUGGAAACUGGCGGGCUAGAGAGUAGGAGAGGGAGGUGGAAGUCUAGGUGUAGCGGUAAAAUGCGUAGAUAUCAGGAAGAAUACCAGUGGCGAAGGCGGCCGCCUGGCAUGUUACUGACGCUGAGGCACGAAAGCGUGGGGAGCAAAUAGGAUUAGAUACCCGAGUAGUC